ACUCCUACGGGAGGCAGCAGUGGGGAAUAUUGCGCAAUGGACGAAAGUCUGACGCAGCGACGCCGCGUGGAGGAUGAAGGUUUUCGGAUCGUAAACUCCUGUCAAGAGGGAAGAAACCUAUUAUGAAUAAUACUCAUAGUAAUUGACGGUACCUCUAGAGGAAGCACCGGCUAAUUCAGUGCCAGCAGCCGCGGUAAUACUGAAGGUGCAAGCGUUAAUCGAAUCACUGGGCGUAAAGCGCUCGUAGGUGGCUUUGUAAGUCAGGUGUGAAAGCCCACGGCUCAACCGUGGAAUUGCACUUGAUACUGCAUCGCUAGAGUAUAGGAGAGGGAAGUGGAAUUUCUGGUGUAGGAGUGAAAUCCGUAGAGAUCAGAAGGAACACCCGUGGCGAAGGCGACUUCCUGGACUAUUACUGACACUGAGGAGCG
rnacentral:rRNA from 1 species